AUUGAACGCUGGCGGCAUGCCUUACACAUGCAAGUCGAACGGCAGCACGGGGCAACCUGGUGGCGAGUGGCGAACGGGUGAGUAAUGCAUCGGAACGUACCUUUCAGUGGGGGAUAACGUAGCGAAAGUUACGCUAAUACCGCAUAUUCUGUGAGCAGGGACGGAGGGGAUCGCAAGACCUUGCGCUGAUGGAGCGGCCGAUGUCAGAUUAGCUAGUUGGUGAGGUAAAGGCUCACCAAGGCGACGAUCUGUAGCGGGUCUGAGAGGAUGAUCCGCCACACUGGAACUGAGACACGGUCCAGACUCCUACGGGAGGCAGCAGUGGGGAAUUUAGGACAAUGGGGGCAACCCUGAUCCAGCCAUGCCGCGUGAGUGAAGAAGGCCUUCGGGUUGUAAAGCUCUUUCGGCCGGGAAGAAAUCGCACAGGCUAAUACCUUGUGUGGAUGACGGUACCGGAAUAAGAAGCACCGGCUAACUACGUGCCAGCCGCCGCUGUAAGAC
rnacentral:rRNA from 1 species